rnacentral:rRNA from 1 species
GAUGAACGCUGGCGGCGUGCCUAAUACAUGCAAGUCGAGCGAACAGACGAGGAGCUUGCUCCUCUGAUGUUAGCGGCGGACGGGUGAGUAACACGUGGAUAACCUACCUAUAAGACUGGGAUAACUUCGGGAAACCGGAGCUAAUACCGGAUAACAUGUUGAACCGCAUGGUUCAACAGUGAAAGACGGUCUUGCUGUCACUUAUAGAUGGAUCCGCGCCGCAUUAGCUAGUUGGUAAGGUAACGGCUUACCAAGGCAACGAUGCGUAGCCGACCUGAGAGGGUGAUCGGCCACACUGGAACUGAGACACGGUCCAGACUCCUACGGGAGACAGCAGUAGGGAAUCUUCCGCAAUGGGCGAAAGCCUGACGGAGCAACGCCGCGUGAGUGAAGAAGGUCUUCGGAUCGUAAAACUCUGUUAUUAGGGAAGAACAAAUGUGUAAGUAACUAUGCACGUCUUGACGGUACCUAAUCAGAAAGCCACGGCUAACUACGUG